CGGGGGGCAGCAGGCGCGAAACCUUUACAAUGCACGCAAGUGUGAUAAGGGGAUCCUGAGUGCUUAUGUUUUACAUAGGCUUUUGAUAAGACUAAAUACCUUAUCGAAUAAGUGGUGGGAAAGACUGGUGCCAGCCGCCGCGGUAACACCAGCGCCACGAGUGGCAACCGCGAUUAUUGGGCCUAAAGCGUCCGUAGCCGGUUCAGCAAAUCUUUUGUGAAAUUGUCAGGCCUAACUUGACGAAUUGCAGAAGACACUACUGAACUCGAGACCGGGAGGAGUCAGAAGUAUUCUAGGGGGACCGGUAAAAUGGUAUAAUCCCUAGAAGACUACCGAUGGCGAAGGCAUCUGACCAGAACGGAUCUGACGGUAAGGGACGAAAGCCAGGGGAGCGAACCGGAUUAGAUACCCGAGUAGUCCUGGCCGUAAACGCUGCGAGUUAGGUGUUGCAUAAGCUACGGGCUUGUGCAGUGUCGAAAGGAAGCUGUUAAACUCGCCGCCUGGGAAGUACGGUCGCAAGACGAAAC
rnacentral:rRNA from 1 species